ACCACCAGCACUGCCUGCUCUUGAGAGAGUGCGACAGCCACGGCACUGAAGGUUUAAAUUCUGGAUGAAGAAGAAGAAGCAGACAGAGGAAGCAGUGUUUUUAAUCGGACUUGGGGAAGAAAAGACGGGAAAGCAGGAAAGAACAGCAGUGCCCCACGUUGGGUGGUGACAUCAUGAAGAAAAGUAGCCACUCAAAGCAUCGCUGACCCAAACGCUCACCGCCCACGACGGCAGGGGGAGCCGCGGUCCAUGAGGAUUGUGGUGCUCCUGUGUCCCGCAGUCUGAAGUCACGCAACCAGGUAAAUGGGAGCCACCAAGUUCCCUUUCGUGCGUGACGGUGUGCGCUGUCAUGGACCGACAUUACAUCCAGGAUGCCCCCUGUCACAAGCCAGAACUAGGAGAGGCUCUGCACUCACCGUGACAUGGUACUGGAAGUGGCUAUGGAGGAUGGAUGCAUGCGUGUAAAUUAUGGGGGAGCUGUAACCCCUCCGAUAGUCAAAAUCAGCCAAUAAUCACCCCCUGGACCCCCUCCAAUCGGUGGAGACCUCAACCCCCCCAAUGGCCAACCCAAAGUUAUGCCCUCGGAUGGAUGUUUUAAUGUAACACUAAGCAGCAUGAUUAACAUUAUUAUCCUGAGCUUUGAGAAGGAAAAAAAGCACUUUUACAUACAUUUUUACACACGUUGCUUGUGUUUUCCGAGAGGCAGCUAAAUUUUUCUGAAUGCUUGCCUCUGGCCUGGCUUUACCGUGCCCCUAAUCGGGGUCACACCUUUGGCAUCAAGGUUUGCUGCCAAACCUCUGCCAUGAGCCGUGCCAGGUCAACCAGAGCUCUUUCUGCUCUCUCAGAUGCAUGUACGGGAAAAAACCUGUUUCUCUGCUUGACUUCACCCAAGAGCUCAGUUCAAAAUCACAGCCCAUUAGGGCUGGAUAUUUGUAAUAAAAAUGAUAAAAGGAGA